rnacentral:sRNA from 1 species
AACCACAAUUAUGCGGUCGCACGCCAGAU